UCGGCCAUUCCUGUCCUCAGAGCCUCAGCCGGACAGGGAAGAGACACUGACCUGCCAAUCAGAGAGCAGCACUACUGAAAUAGAACUCUCAGGAGGUAACAGCGUGUCACACAUGUGAUGUCAUAACCAUUGUCCACCAGAGAGCAGCACUGAGCAGAUAUAACACUGCUCCUGCUCAUUCUUCAUCAGUGAGGGGCUGAUGCUGGACACUGUAGGGGCCGAGAAUGCAAAGUCACAUACACUACUGUGACUGAUAAUCUAUCUUUUGUUUUCCUAUCUUAGAUGCACUAUUUCCAGGAUGUGGAGUAGCAUUUCCGGACCUACAGCAAGACGUUGGAUGAAGACGUAGAUUUCCAGACCUAUUCCAGAAGAAUUUGGAUGAAGGCACAGCCCCUCGAAUCACGCACAUACACAGACACAUUUGCCCAAAUUCUAGAGGUAACCUCCUUUAGUAUGCCCAGAGGAAGGGCAAUACAGUAGCCAUGGAUUCCCUACAGGUUUCCUCCCCUCUGGAGGUUUUUCCUGUCCUGAGUAUUAGUUACUGUACGCUCUUUGUGAGUGAUGGAGGUUACAAAAAAUCCCCGACACAAACAUUUUUAUAUAUAAUAAAUAAAGUUCCCCUUUUUAAACCA